rnacentral:rRNA from 1 species
GAUCCUGGCUCAGGAUGAACGCUGGCGGCGUGCUUAACACAUGCAAGUCGAACGAAGCACCUUGAUUUGAUUCUUCGGAUGAAGAUCUUGGUGACUGAGUGGCGGACGGGUGAGUAACGCGUGGGUAACCUGCCUCAUACAGGGGGAUAACAGUUAGAAAUGACUGCUAAUACCGCAUAAGACCACAGCACCGCAUGGUGCAGGGGUAAAAACCCCGGUGGUAUGAGAUGGACCCGCGU